GGGUGCAGCUCUCACUAUCUUUAAAUCUAAUUGGUUUCACUCAUUUAUUUUUCUCAUUAAUUUAGUGAUUACACUGAACUGAAUUUCAUCUCUUACAAUUAACUAUAAUUCUUUAAUUUACCUUAAUCGAUAUAUUCCAUCACCAAUAGAAGGCGCCUAGAAUAUUCUAUCCUUCUCUCCCUCCUUGCCUCCAUUUUUAUUCACUUAUUUUCUCCUGCAAAUGAAUUCAAGCUUCAGAGUUUUAUUCAAUGGUAUUCGCAAGAUGAUGUCAACAUCAACACUAAAUGUGGAUUCUUUACGUGAUAAGGCUUUCAACAUUUGUCGAGAAUAUCUUUCAGGCUCUUGGAAGGAAAUUCAGCCCAAUGACAUGAUCUUUCAUUCCAUCAGUGGUGGUCUCAGUAAUAUCUUGUAUUAUUGUUCUCUACCCUCAACUCAUACUCCUUUAUGUGGUGAACCAAGUCAAGUAUUACUCAGAAUGUAUGGGCAACUUCACUCUGACGAUACGACACAAAACGAGAACAAAAUGACAGAAUCAGUGAUUUUCAUGUUAUUAUCUGAGAGAAACUUGGGACCCAAAUUGUAUGGAAUCUUUCCCGGUGGACGACUUGAAGAAUAUAUUCCGGCACAAGCGAUGACCUGUGAUCAGCUUCGUGAUCCAGUUCUUUCCUCAACCAUUGCCCAUAAAUUAGCCCAUGUUCACAGUCUUGAUGUUCCCAUUAACAAAGAGCCUACUUGGCUUUUCGAUAACAUGUACUCUUGGUUGGAAAGUGCUCGUCGAGUUGACCUGAAAAUGGUUAAACCCGAGUAUCGAUGUGUCGCCAAGAAACUCCUCAGUUUUCCUUAUGAAGAUGAACUUAUCUGGUUGAAAAGUUUCCUCUCUUCUGUCCAAUCUCCUGUAGUAUUUUGCCACAAUGAUCUUCAAGAAGGUAACAUUCUGCUUCCUGGUAUCCCCACAACACCAAGUAGUUUCCGUAAUCGUAAUCGGUCCAAUGGAUCUUCAAACGGAUCCAAUCGAACCCUUGAACCCAAGGUUAUCUUCAUAGACUUUGAAUAUUGUUCGUACAAUCAUCGUGGUUUUGAUUUCGCCAAUCAUUUCCUUGAAUGGACAUAUGAUUAUUCAGCACAAGAGUGGCCUCAUUUUUACCAUAAACCGGAAAAUUAUCCAAGCGAAAGUCAGAGACGACAUUUUGUCCGAGAAUAUCUGAAGGCUGUCGAUAGAUCGAGACCAAGAACAGAAGUCGACAAUGAGGAUCAUAUCUUACGGGAAGCGGACGCUUACUCAUUAGCAUCUCAUUUACUUUGGACACUUUGGAGUAUCAAUCAUGGAGUCUCAUCGGAAAUUGUUUUCGGUUAUUGGGAAUUUGGAGAAAUGCGAUUGAAAAGUUAUAUCAACAAAAAGAGGGAUUUUACUGAGCAAUUAACUUCUAAAUCGCGAUCACCGUAACAAUAAUCAUCUAUAAACAAUCAUCUCAACCCUGGUUGAUUACUGAUUACGUCGUCAGUUUUUUAACAUUGCACAUUCUCACUUCAUGACAGCCAAUCUCAUCUUCACCAAAUCAUCCGAUUGGUUGAAAGUUCAGUAAUACAAUUUCAAAAUAUCAGAAAACUCGAACAGUUUUUCCCCAUGGCACGUCACAAUAUUCACACAUACUAAAGCAAACACUUCCGUCCUGAACUGUUUCCCUGUUUCACAGUUAACCAUCAACACUUAAUUACUAUCAUAUUAAUUUUUUUAAUGUCACCUUCCAAUACUUUUGGUUGAAAGAUUAGAAGUCGAUUGGGUCAGUAGCCAUUUGUGGCCCCAAUAACCACCGAUAAGAGCCGAUAUUCGGAUUCGUCAAAGAAAGAAAGCAAAACGAAACAAAGUCAAACCAUAAUGGUCUCCAAAAAAAGAAAAAGAAAACUUAACCUUCGUACUUAUGAUUCCCUUGAUAUUGAUCUUCUUUAACCUUUUUCUUUUCCUUUACUCCGACGGACAAAGAUUGUGGAUAAUCAUUCAAUCUGAGAAAAGAAUCAAGUUUAAUUCUAAACAAUUGGGAGAAUUGGAUUGUCAAUAGUUUUUGGAUUUCAGUUUGUCUCAGUUUCAUAUCCCUCAAGUUAAAUCGUAUCGACGAUUAUGAUGGUCAACUGAAUUUCUUGGAAUCGUCUUUCCAGUCGAGGAAAUUUGCCGAUUUCCAGUGCUACAAAAUAGAUCAAUUUUUAGAAAAAAAAAAUAUCAUCAUGGAUUCUGAUACACACACAUAUUUAACUUUCUUUCCUAAUUUCUUAACGAAAACAUCUACAAUUAACUUUUCUAGUGUAACUUAAUUCUGUCACAAUUAACUUACACUCAGUCAAUUUUGUAGUUUAAUUUGUUUUAUUUAUAUGGAAAAUUUUCUCUCUGUUUUAACCUGGUCUCGAAAAUUUCACUCUAAACAAAUUUAUUUUGGUAGAAUUGCAAUCAAAUUGAUAUUUAAUCGUUUCCAAUGAUUAAGAAAUUUUUUUCUAACAUGGACAAUUCUGUAAACCAUUUAUAGUGCAAUUCAUCCUGAUCUUAUUACAAUCGAGUGAAUCAACAAUUAAGAUAUAUUUUGGUUAAAACUUUUAAACAAUUUUCUUUCCUUUGAUGAUUAUUGAUUAUUUUUGAUUUUGUUUAAAAUACCCAAUCCAACUCAUCUAAUUAAAUGUUACUUUAUUUUUCUUUUCUUGAUUUGGACUUAAUUACAAUCAAUUAAAUGAAUAAACAAUUCGUUUACAUUCAAACGAUAAAAACUUUA